CUGAAGUUUAGUUUCUCUUUGUUUUGCCAUUUAGACUGCAUGAGAAGCAAUUAUUUAGAUCAGAUAAAAAAAAGUGUUGAUGCUUAAGUUCAUUGAAACACUGAACCAAUUGAUCCAAAUGAGGUUGAGGAUUAUUAUACAGUCAUUAAAGAGCCUAUGGAUUUUGCAACCAUGAGGGCUAAACUACAUGAAGGGAUGUAUAAGACUCUAGAACAAUUUGAGGUUUGCAUCUUUCAUUUUAUUUCACAUGCUCAUGUUAUCUAUCAGUAUCAAUUAGCAGACAUGUAUGCAUAAUAUUUGAACCAUCUAACACAUGAUAUUUGAACCAUUAUACAACAUGACAUGUUUCUAAUAUUCAACAAUGCUCUUCUAUUUCAUUUUGCUAUUGAUUCUUGAGAGCUUGAAGAACCAUUGGAUCAUAUUCACAUGAUUGAUUAUUUUUUAGUAUGGGCCAUGUUUAGGAUAGUGUGCAACACUGCAUGAGGCUGAGAUCUAUAUCAUGACAACCAUAUAAGGGAGCUCCCAUCACUGACACCGGCACAUAGAGAGGCAAAAAAUUGAAGACAUUGUAACACCACACGUGAUCCUGUGUAAAGUGAGCUUUUCUUAUAAUCGUUGUCUUUAUUUUGUUUUCUCCUGUGCAAAUUAUAUGUGUCGGCACCUCAGUUGCAGAUUUGUGUGAAAAUGUUGUUGACGAUGAAUAUUUGGAUUGAUAGAUAGAUACAUGCAAAUGGUGUUAAUUUCUUUUUUUUAUUUCUUUCUUUCUGCAUAUGCAAUUGAAGGACAUGAUGCUGAAGUUUUCUGGCUCUUCCAAGCAAUCAUCAAGAUCUGGACCAGGUUCAAGUUCAAGAGGAAUGGGACCAAUAGAGAAUCCUGAGAACACUGUGGCAGAAGGGGUUCAAUACCCUGACAUGGGAGGAGUUGGUUCAGCCUCUGCCCGUGCUUGGGAACACAGGACCUCCUUGAAAAAUUUUCAGGUGUAAGCACCAUUUGGUUUAUGUAUAAUGCUGAUUUGUGGUGAUGAAAGUGGCUCCCUUGGCUGUGGAAUUGGUACUCUUAUUGAUUGCUGCGAUCCUCCAUUGCCAGAAGUUCCUGAGGACGAUUGAUUCUGUCCAAAGUGCAGUAGCACCCAAAACU